rfam:Clostridium colicanis DSM 13634 CLCO_contig000040, whole genome shotgun sequence.
GUCGAGAGAUCCUGCGCCGAAGAUGUCCGGGGCUAAAACUUACCACCGAAGCUAUGGAUGUGUCGUAAGACACGUGGUAGAGGAGCUUUCUAUACAGGUUGAAGCCAUACCGUAAGGAGUGGUGGACAGUAUAGAAGUGAGAAUGCUGGCAUAAGUAGCGAGAAACAGGUGAGAAUCCUGUUGGCCGAAUAUCUAAGGUUUCCUGGGGAAGGCUCGUCCUCCCAGGGUUAGUCGGGACCUAAGCCGAGGCCGAAAGGCGUAGGUGAUGGACAACUGGUUGAUAUUCCAGUACCACCACAAUGCGUUUGACAAAUGGGAUGACGCAGAAGGAUAGGAUGUGCGCACUACUGGAUGUGCGUCUAAGCACUUAGGAUGUUGAGUAGGCAAAUCCGCUCAACCCAAAGUCUGAGGUGUGAUGGGGAGCCAAUCUUUGGCGAAGUAUCUGAUUCCAUGCUGCCAAGAAAAGUCUCUAUGGAGCAAAGUGGUGCCCGUACCGCAAACCGACACAGGUAGAUGAGGAGAGAAUCCUAAGGCCGGCGGAAGAAUUGCUGCUAAGGAACUCGGCAAAUUGACCCCGUAAGUUCGCGAGAAGGGGUGCCUGCGAGAGCAGGCCGCAGUGACCAGGCCCAAGCAACUGUUUAUCAAAAACACAGGUCUCUGCUAAAGCGUAAGCUGAUGUAUAGGGGCUGACGCCUGCCCGGUGCUGGAAGGUUAAGGGGAAUAGUUAGCAUAUGCGAAGCUAUGAACUUAAGCCCCAGUAAACGGCGGCCGUAACUAUAACGGUCCUAAGGUAGCGAAAUUCCUUGUCGGGUAAGUUCCGACCCGCACGAAUGGCGUAAUGAUUUGGGCACUGUCUCGGCAGCAAAUCCGGUGAAAUUGUAGUGCAAGUGAAGAUGCUUGCUACCCGCGGUUGGACGGAAAGACCCCGUAGAGCUUUACUGUAGCUUAGCAUUGAAUUUCGGUAUUGUCUGUACAGGAUAGGUGGGAGACUUAGAA